rnacentral:rRNA from 1 species
UACGAAGGGGGCUAGCGUUGUUCGGAAUUACUGGGCGUAAAGCGUAUGCAGGCGGACUUUUAAGUCGGGGGGUGAAAUCCCGAGGCUCAACCUCGGAACUGCCUUCGAUACUGGAAGUCUUGAGUCCGGGAGAGGCGAGUGGAAUUCCGAGUGUAGAGGUGAAAUUCGUAGAUAUUCGGAAGAACACCAGUGGCGAAGGCGACUCGCUGGACAGGUAUUGACGCUGAGGUGCGAAAGCGUGGGGAGCAAACAGG